CCUUAUUGGAGAGUUUGAUCCUGGCUCAGGACGAACGCUGGCGGCGUGCUUAACACAUGCAAGUCGAGCGGUAAGGCCCUUCGGGGUACACGAGCGGCGAACGGGUGAGUAACACGUGGGUAACCUGCCCUGUACUCUGGGAUAAGCCUUGGAAACGAGGUCUAAUACCGGAUAUGACAUCGAACUGCAUGGUUUGGUGUGGAAAGUUCCGGCGGUACAGGAUGGACCCGCGGCCUAUCAGCUUGUUGGUGGGGUAAUGGCCUACCAAGGCGACGACGGGUAGCCGGCCUGAGAGGGUGAUCGGCCACACUGGGACUGAGACACGGCCCAGACUCCUACGGGAGGCAGCAGUGGGGAAUAUUGCACAAUGGGCGAAAGCCUGAUGCAGCGACGCCGCGUGAGGGAUGACGGCCUUCGGGUUGUAAACCUCUUUCAGCAGGGACGAAGCGCAAGUGACGGUACCUGCAGAAGAAGCACCGGCUAACUACGUGCCAGCAGCCGCGGUAAUACGUAGGGUGCGAGCGUUGUCCGGAAUUAUUGGGCGUAAAGAGCUC
rnacentral:rRNA from 2 species